AGAACGAACGCUGGCGGCAGGCUUAACACAUGCAAGUCGAGCGCCCCGCAAGGGGGAGCGGCAGACGGGUGAGUAACGCGUGGGAACAUACCCUCCGGUUCGGAAUAACUCAGGGAAACUUGAGCUAAUACCGGAUACGGUCGAGAGGCGAAAGAUUUAUCGCCGGAGGAUUGGCCCGCGUCCGAUUAGCUAGUUGGUGUGGUAAUGGCGCACCAAGGCGACGAUCGGUAGCUGGUCUGAGAGGAUGAUCAGCCACAUUGGGACUGAGACACGGCCCAAACUCCUACGGGAGGCAGCAGUGGGGAAUAUUGGACAAUGGGCGAAAGCCUGAUCCAGCCAUGCCGCGUGAGUGAUGAAGGCCUUAGGGUUGUAAAGCUCUUUCGCCCACGACGAUAAUGACGGUAGUGGGAGAAGAGCCCGGCUAACUUCGUGCCAGCAGCCGC
rnacentral:rRNA from 1 species